ensembl:lncRNA
UGCCUGGACAGUCCCAGGGACGGGGGAGCCUGAUGGGCUGCCGUCUAUGGGGUCGCACAGUCAGACAUGACUGAAGCGACUUAGCAGCAGUAGCAAUAGCAGCCAUCCAGAGACUGGUAAUUUAGCUACUAAAGAUUUGACUAGCAUGUUCUAUUUGGUGCCUUUUUACACAGCUUCUCAACCACAAUUCACCUUCACCUUUGAAGGAACAUAAUACACCUUUACUAGGCUACCCAUGAGGUCUCUCAACAUCUUUGCCAUCAUACAAAAUCUUUUCAAACAACAUCUUAACUGCAUUCACCUUUCCCCAGGAGCAUCAGUAUUAAACACAUUGAUGAGGUCGUCCUUUCAGGAGUUUCACUUGAUAGAUUCAUUAAGGACACACAAGUCCAACAUCUUUUAGUCCCUUUAGAGAGCUCUAAAGACAAUGUAUUACUUAAUUACAAAUUUUACUUAAUCUCACUGAUGCCACUAUUUAUAAAUCAGGCCAUCUUAAAUGGGGCUCCCUUCAACAAAAGUCCCUAAAAUCUGUCCAAACUAAAAUCAAGGGCACUUCCGUCAGUGCUUUUAGAGACUCAUUUACUGUAGGGGCUUUGACAGCUCCCUACAUGCACCCUGGAGUCUCUGGACCACCUAUGAUGACCAUAAAUUACCAACAGACUAACCUUCUCAGAUCCAUGCUAUAUAUCAUUAGAGCAGAAAUUGCUGGUCACAUACUGGGAUAUCCUGGAAAUACCAGCUCUCACACACCCCAAGCCUGUGACCGUCUGUACCCAUCUGCCAAUUAUGCCUUGAGCCUAUGGAAGCAGCAUGGCACAAGCCUGGCACUGCUACUGAGGCCUCCUUGAUGCAGGGUGGAGCCAAACCUGGGCCGAAGGACGCUUUUCAUGCUUUGACUUGGUCUAACUGAGAGCAAGACUUGUUGGAAUUAAUCAUUUGGUUUUCCAGAAGGAGCUCAUAAUAGAAGACUCCAUUCCAAUCCUUCUAUAUACACAUCACCUUCUUUGGAUGAAGAAUGGCCUUUGCUGUGUUUGAUCACUAUCAACUUCAACUUGUCUACCCAGCUGUGGAGCAUCGUCCAGCGAGGAAUCUCUAGCAUGAAACUUCGCAAACCACUUUUGACACAUGCAAUCAGUCACAGCACCUUUGCCAUACACCACGCAAAUCUUUUUUUGCAUUUCAGUUGUGUUUUUUCCUUUCUUGAAGUAAUAAAG